rnacentral:rRNA from 1 species
CGGGGUGCAGCAGGCGCGAAAACUUUACCAUUUUGGCAACAGCGAUAAGGGGACCUUGAGUGCCAGGAUACAAUCCUGGCUGUCGUGAUGCCUAAAAAGCAUUAUAUAGCAAGGGCCGGGCAAGACCGGUGCCAGCCGCCGCGGUAACACCGGCGGCUCGAGUGGUAACCGCUAUUAUUGGGUCUAAAGGGUCUGUAGCCGGCUUGGUUAGUCUCUUGGGAAAUCCGGCAGCUUAACUGUCGGGCUUUCAGGAGAUACUGCCAGGCUCGAGACCGGGAGAGGUGAGAGGUACUUCAUGGGUAGGGGUGAAAUCUUGUAAUCCUUGAAGGACCACCAGUGGCGAAGGCGUCUCACCAGAACGGAUCUGACGGCAAGGGACGAAAGCUAGGGGCACGAACCGGAUUAGAUACCCGGGUAGUCCUAGCCGUAAACGAUACUCGCUAGGUGUCGGCCACGGUGCGACCGUGGUCGGUGCCGUAGGGAAGCCGUGAAGCGAGCCACCUGGGAAGUACGGCCGCAAGGCUGAAACUUAAAGGAAUUGGCGGGGGAGCAC